rnacentral:rRNA from 1 species
GACGAACGCUGGCGGCGUGCCUAAUACAUGCAAGUAGAACGCUGAAGGAGGAGCUUGCUUCUCUGGAUGAGUUGCGCACGGGUGAGUAACGCGUAGGUAACCUGCCUGGUAGCGGGGGAUAACUAUUGGAAACGAUAGCUAAUACCGCAUAAUAGCAGUUGUUGCAUGACAACUGUUUGAAAGGUGCAAUUGCACCACUACCAGAUGGACCUGCGUUGUAUUAGCUAGUUGGUGGGGUAACGGCUCACCAAGGCGACGAUACAUAGCCGACCUGGGAGGGGGGUCGGGCACACUGGGACUGGGACACCGCCCAGACCCCUACGGGAGGCAGCAGGAGGGAAUCUUCGGCAAGUGACGGAAGGCUGGACGAGCAACGCCGCGUGAGUGAAGAAGGGUUUCGGAUCGUAAAGCUCUGUUGUAAGAGAAGAACGAGUGUGAGAGUGGAAAGUUCACACUGUGACGGUAUCUUACCAGAAAGGGACGGCUAACUACGUG